AAGCAGGUUUCCUCAACUGACAUACCCGUGCAACUUGAAGUUUCGCCUGGUCUUUCCAGGUCUAGAGAGACGACACUUUGUACUGAACCCAACUCCACGAUUGGUCUACUGGCGGGUGCUAGUAAUGGCUUUGUUGCUUCGUAGCGGAGCAUGCAAGCCGCGGGAACUCCCCCUUGGUGACAAGGACCCGCGGGGCCAAAAGCCACGUUCUCUGAACCUUGCAUGUGUGCAACCCCAGCACGGUGACACUGUUGUGAAACACACUUUAAGGUAACACUGAGACUGGUACUUGGUUUCUGGAGACAGGCUAAGGAUGCCCUUCAGGUACCCCGAGGUAACAAGAGACACUCGGGAUCUGAGAAGGGGACUGGGGCUUCUUUAAAAGCGCCCAGUUUAAAAAGCUUCUAUGCCUGAAUAGGUGACCGGAGGCCGGCACCUUUUCCUUUAUACAAAACCAUUU
rnacentral:other from 1 species